AAGACUCCAAAGGCGAAUUUUUUUUGUUAAUAAAAUUCUUCACAAAUUUAUGAAUAACGAAUCGAUGGUAGAAAACGAUAAAUAUAAGAAUUUGUCUGCUCUGAUAACCCAGGAGGACAAAAAUAAACUAAAUCUAAGGCUUGACUUUUCUGUUGAUAAAGAAUAUACAAGAGUCGGUUUUCGCGGCGCUAAGCAGUUUAUUUUUAAUGAACCAAUCGAGGCCACCAAAAGCACAUUUUUGCGAUAUAAAAUACUUCGUAUUUUAAACUAUGCGUUACAGUUUGUUACUUUGAUCUGCUUAUUGUGGAUUAUAAAAAAAAUUUUAUUUUACUGGGUAUAUUAACUACGCACCAUAUAUAUUUUUAUAAUUAAAUUUGUACAGUGUUGGCGCAGGGUUGCAUGUAUGAUUAAUAGAAAAGGGAAUGGAAGAAUGAAAUAAAUUGGUGUGAUAUUUUAAUUUGUUUA